ACCAGACGCUGGGGGAGCCAGAAAACUGGCUGAGAGGGAGAUGUAUGUCUCCGACCCUUGGAACCUGACGCGGUCAAGACCGCCGUAGGAAAGCGUUGGAUAUGACGU
rnacentral:ncRNA from 2 species